ACAUGGGUGAGUGAGUCGCGGCGCCAAACGUCUGAUCCGGUCAGAGGUGACGGGUCCAUGCAGGCUUCAGGGUCGGUUCAGGGCAAAGCUGCCGGGAGCGUAAAAACAACGACUUAGAGGACGAGGCGCUCUGAAAGGAGCUAAUCUGGCGGCGCGGAGAGGCCCGGUUCAAACGGCCCACGAGGUGCCACUCAGGCUACGAGCCAGGACGGCAGGCUCGUUACGAUAACAGAGAUUCAGAACUGAUGGAAAGAAAGAUGAAAUAAUCUGACUUGAUGUCAGGAGGGAAGACAGAGAUGGUAGAAGAGGAAAAGGAAAGAAACACCUCCCACGUCACCCCUCCCUCCCUCCCUCCCCCCGUCAGCUCCACAUCAGAGGGAACCAGCAACAGUUCCAGUCCGCUCGUCCCGUAAGAGUCGACCGCUGAGCCGACCAGAUUGAAAAGGAGGAGCCGAGGCCGCGGAGCAUGAAAGAGGAUAGAAGAAGAAGAAGAAGAAGAAGACAAGAGAAUAAGAGAGAAUCCAGAAGUGACCAUAUUUGGACGAGAGGAUGGAUCGUCUGAUUGGAUCUGACUGAAAAGAGAAACAAAUAAAUGUCUGGUUUCCAGCUGAGCUCAGAAACGGUGGGAAACAAGAUGAAAGUCACAAUAAAUCUGCUCAUAUUGAUGCAUAUCCUGCUUCAUCGUCUAUUUUACACUCAGCGAGAUGAUUUUUUACAAAGCGAACACCAGGUUGUGUUUCAGAAGUCUUAAACUAGAGACUGAGGUCAUAAACUCUUCAUGAAACUGUUAACUGAGCUCAUAAACUCAGAGAGAAGUCGGCUCACUUUCUCAUAAGCUUCCAUACAACCAGACUUCUUCUUGAAACCAGUUGAGCCUGAACAACCUGAACACGACCGUCUGAGGAUGGAUGGCUAACGAGAUGAUCGCUGUGAGGUCCAGACGUCGCCGCUCUUUCCCCAAAUUGAUUCAGUUUAACGGAUCUCAUCUCGACCGGCGCUCAGAACUUAAUUCUUUGUUUUAUAAUUUGCUCUUAAUCGCCUUCGCUCCUCGCUAAUGACGAGGCUGCAGCUCUGCUCAGACUAAAGCCCCUCAUCGUGAGCCGCUAAAGCUCUUAAAUAAAUAAGAUUAGCGCAACAUCCCGUGUUACAUUUGUGAAUCAGACGAGCGCUAUCAGAUCUGCCACGUUAUCAGAACCAUCCGUCCAGCGGGCCUCCGACACGUCGGGGCGGCGUCAACGAGCCCGACAGCUGACAGGAGGCUGACUGCAGCCUGUUUCCUGCUCAGUAACCAGUCUGAGUGAGUCUGUGGGAGAAGAGAGUAAAUUAAUAAAAAGGUGACAAACCUCUGCAGCUGCUGAUUAGCUGAAAUAAAAUAAUAAAAGCUCGGCCACCUGCAGCUGAACCGUGCGGCGUUACGUCGUGUUGAAGUGUUUCUGCUGAUGUGUUCAAGCUUCAGCUGACUUCAGUUGCUUCCUGACCUAAAAGUCUCACUUCGCGCAGCAGUAAAACAACAUGUUCUCAAAGCUUCAGUGUUUGUUUACGCUCAGGUAACUUUAAUCCCGAGGUUUCUCCUGUUGUCAGUCAGAGCAGUGACAGCAGGACCGGAGGGAGCUCGAGCCGCCGGCGCCCGGCGCAGCGUGCAGGGACCCGUUACUGCAGCGCCGCGAGGACAGUCGAUCACAAACACACAGUUCCAGACGUGGUGAGACAGACGAGCUCGACACAAACUUCCAGACUCCUGUCAGGGUUCGGCCCGAUCAGCGGGUCCACAUGAGGUCCGGGAAGCGUCUUUGUUCAUCUGUGAAUCAGUUACUGUGAGGACAUGAGGGGCCGCCGCCGCUUCUCCAGGAGCUCUCGAGAAGACACUUUGAUGUCCUCUGAAGAACGGCCUCGUCGGGGAAAGUGAGGCGAUCCCUCGAGAAGACAAAGUGUUUUUUGUUCGGGAACAGCGAGAAGCCAAAAAGCCGAGUCACUCUGUCACUACAAAGACGAGGAGGAAUAAAAGUUCCCGGCCCCGCGGAGAGGCCGGCGGGAUAAUAAGACAUCCAGAACAGCUGCUCAGAGAGGCCGUCCUCUCUCUGAAAUAAGCAGCAGAGAUUGCCUGAACAUGGCCGACAGAUUAGUUCUCCCUAAUGUGGUAAAUCCCGGCCCGUGUUUGCAGGAGGCGGCGGUGCACGCUGGUGAGGCCCAGCAGGACGCAGAGCGGGCAAACACACGUCCUGGACGCCAUGUUUACUGAAAACUGUUUGUCCAGCUGCCGGAGGGACGCCGCGAGGAAACGGGACGGCUGUUAAUUAAAAUCGUGAUUCGUCCCUUUUUUCCUUGGAUCAAAUGAGUUGUACAUUACUGUCGACACGGCCAAACAAACAGCGGGGAUGCCAGUGUACAUGUUUGCUAACCGGCCCGGCUGUGAGUCCGGCUCAGCGGGGAGGAAGGUUUGAUUAUCGACACGCUGUUUGGAUAUUUCCUCCAGGCGCCGCAGAUAACAAACUGCCGUCACCUUCUGGGAGCUGCGGCGUGUUUCCCUGAUGAUCCGUCAUUCAUACGCUCAGGAUGGAUCUGUGUUCCUUCACUGUUUACAGACGGACGUGAACAUGUUGAAGUGACAGAAUGUAAAGUUCAGGGAGGGAAAAGGUGACGAGGAUAUUUAGUUUUAGACAUUUAAACAUCUCACAGUCGUUCGAGACAUUAGCAUUUUUUUGGAUGUGUACGUCAUAAAAGAAGUAACCACCUAAAAAUAACUUUACCAUCUUACUCGUGUGAUUAUCAAUGUUGUUUUUGUGCAGUUGGUGAAGCGGAUGUUGCUUUUCUUGUUUCUACUCAACGCGCUCAGUCAAUGUACAUGAGAAAAAAAGUAUUUUAUUUAAAGGAACAAGUACUCUCCAUGUUCAGCUGUGCUUCCUCUCUCUGCUCAGAGAAACUUCUGAACCAGUCAUCUGCUUUUACUUCACCACGUUUGCAUUUCGAGACGUAAAACUAGAUCAGUGUCAUGAUGAACUUCUUGCUGCGCCUCCUGAAAAAGAUCUGCACAAUAUAUGAUGUGAACUAUAACGAUGUGUAGAUCAAUUAACAUAAGUACAACUCUGAUCUUAUGUGUCUUUCAGAGUUGAAAUUAAAAUAUUAUAAUUAAAAGUAACUGAGUAAUUUAUUCAUCAGGUACUUUUUCACUUGAGUGGAUUUUAAAAGGUAAUUUUCAGCUUUAAUUUUAAUCUCUUUUUUUUGUAAUUUUACUUUUAACAUACAAUAAAAGUCCAGUCUCCAUUUUUGACUCUCCACUCCUUCAGACCUCAACACUGUUAAGAUGUUUUGUUAGUAGUAAUGUUAAAACUGGAUGUGAAAGAUGAAACACAGACUAAAGCUAACUCUUAGGGCUAGCUGGUGAGCUAAAGGUGGUAGCAUGUUAGCAUUAAACAGUCACAUUAUCUGUCCAGUGUGGCAUUUGUUCAUUAUUUUGUUUAAUAAAGAAUUAGAGAAGAGGGGAUAAAAGCUCUGCAAACUAGCAAGGCUGCCAACUUUCACUUCGCUUACCAUGAGCAAGCAAGCUUGUUAGCUUAGCUUACUGUUUCCUCCAACAGAUGAGGUUUAACAAAAU